CCUACGGGGGGCUGCAGUGGGGAAUAUUGGACAAUGGGGGGAACCCUGAUCCAGCCAUGCCGCGUGUGUGAAGAAGGCCCUCGGGUUGUAAAGCACUUUCAGUGAGGAAGAACGCCUGGUGGUUAAUACCCAUCAGGAAAGACAUCACUCACAGAAGAAGCACCGGCUAACUCCGUGCCAGCAGCCGCGGUAAUACGGAGGGUGCGAGCGUUAAUCGGAAUUACUGGGCGUAAAGCGCGCGUAGGUGGCUUGAUAAGCCGGUUGUGAAAGCCCCGGGCUCAACCUGGGAACGGCAUCCGGAACUGUCAAGCUAGAGUGCAGGAGAGGAAGGUAGAAUUCCCGGUGUAGCGGUGAAAUGCGUAGAGAUCGGGAGGAAUACCAGUGGCGAAGGCGGCCUUCUGGACUGACACUGACACUGAGGUGCGAAAGCGUGGGUAGCAAACAGGAUUAGAUACCCCGGUAGUC
rnacentral:rRNA from 1 species